CAGAAGCCUGCUCCAGCACUGGCUUCCCACAGGGUCACAGCCUCCUUCAGGCAUCCCCCUGUUCCGGUGUGAGUGUGGGCUCCCCCCUGUGCUGCACAUGAAUAUCUGUUCCUCUGUUAACCUUCAUGGGCUGCAGGGGACAGCCUGCCUCACCACGGGCUGCACAUACCCUUGCAUGGUGACAGUUGCCAGUUGUGUCAAAAAAGGUGGCACGACUACUCCAGCUAAAUGCAGUACUCCUUUCUGUAGGCUUUUCAUUUGGCCUUUGAGAACAGAUUACUUCCUCAGUGACUGAUACUCAAUUCCUGCAAACCAAAGCAUGAGAUGCUUGAAAAUUUAUCACUUGUCCUGUGUGAUUCACCCUCUUCCAUUCCUUUUCAGUGACUCAGUAUUUAUGUUCCUACUGGAAAGAUGCUAAGUGAGGAACUAACUAUAGAGGAAGUUUUCACAAAGAAGAAUGCUAACUUAGUUGCUAAAUUAUAUCCACCUAAUAAAAUGUAGCUCUCUGACACUUGCCCUCAUUAAAAGUAAUCUUCAUUUGU